CAUGGCUCUAGUUGGCUGAAUUGGGCUAAGUUAAAUUUUAGCAUUUGGUCCCUUUCAACCAACUAUUGGCCAGUC